AGCAUCAUAGCUCUUAACUUAUUUGACUAUUUGAUUACUGUAACUUUUAAAAAAAUGAAACAUCUAGGAAUUAAGAACUGUAAAGUAAUAGGUAGUGUGUUAUUUUAUCAUCUCAGGUUCAAGCAGGACAGUUUCAGGAAAGUAUGACUUGAGAGAGGCAGCCAGACAGACAAUCCAAAUGCUUCAGUUGGCAGGAUGAAGUGAUAUGCUAAUGUAAGAGAAAAGAGCCCUUGCUUUCUGUAAGUGCCUUGGUUGCAUCCCAAGAAGGAAAGCUGCUGCGUCAUUGAACCAGUUCGUCUCCAGUGUGCCACCCUGCCCAGAUUUCUUCCAAGGAAGGAGUAGUGGAUGUGAUCUCUGCAAAAAGAAAGCUUGUCUGGUUGAUCCUGACGGUAAAACAAGCGUACCCGUUAAGAUGACUGCGGGGAAAGUAUCCUGUUUUCAUCUACGCAGCCUGGCUUUUCAUUCACAGGUACAAGUAACUCUCCCCAAGGAACCAGAUGAGCCGUGCCAGUCCAUCCUGCCUGCUGACUGGGUUCAUGUAAAAGUCCAUCAACGGAAGUCAUCGGUGGGACCCCGCUGGAAAGGCCCAUUCCAGGGACUCCUGACAGCCAACACUGCAAUAAAGUGUCAAGGACUCCAACCGUGGAUCCAUGCUUCACACACUAAGAAAACAUCAGCCCUGCUAGACUUAGAGUCUCCUCCAUAUCAACCUUGUAAUCAGCCUCCACAGACCGGUAGUGAGCCUAGCGCCUGCCAACAAGAGAGCUCAAGACCAGUAGUGAGCCAAGCGCCUACUGGCGAAGAGGAUUUGCCACUACAAAGCGAAGAGGAUUUACCACUACAGAACGAAGAAAAUGUACCCCAACGACACCACUAUGCCCUUCGGGAAAGGAAAAAGGCCUCUGCCUAGUUCCUGGUUCCCGAGGUGGGGUUGGUUAGUCGUGACUUGGGUACGUCUCAGUCUUUCCUUUUGGAUCCUCUUAUAUGAACUUAAAGACUCAGCAGCUAAAAGAAACUUUGUAAAUCAGACUAGACUUCAAAACAGGUCAAAAAGAUCACUCCCACACUGGCAUGCUCACCAAAAUGCUUGUCUUCAACUGUCAUAUCAAUAUGGAAAGGAUUUAAAUGUUUCUAAAUAUUGGGCAUGUCCCCACUUGCCUCCUAGUACAAUGACAGGGGUGCCCAUGAUUGCUUUCUCCCUUAAUUGGACGACUUCUGUGAUACGUAUGUUAAAAUAAUGAAAAGGUAAAAAGAAAGAAAAAUUAGAAGUUAAAAAGCUCUUGGCUAUAAAUAUCUAAUAUGUUGGGCCAAAAAGGCCCAAAAGCGGGGAAAGUGGAAAUAAGUUUCACCAGGCCUCUUACUUGACUAAGAAGAGAGAGAAAGAGAAGAAAAAAGGUGCCGAUGUUGAUGCUAUGUGUUUUAACAUGUUCUAAGAUAAGGAGAAACCUUCAUGCCCUGUUUUGUCUGUGUGCAGAUGUUAACCUCCUCCUUUCCGCCGAACCAGAAGCUGAGAACUGUUCCCAAAACAUAGUGUUUUUUUCUAAAUAAGUAAACUGCUUACGUGUGACAAACGAAUGAUCACCAUCUUUCUGUUUCUCCCCAGGUUGCUUUGUCUGAACCCUGCAUGUUUCCUCGCUGUCUAAAGUAUAAAUACGCUUGUAAAUUUGUAGAGGUCAGAGUUCCUUUGAGAACUCUCCCUGUGAUCACUGGUAUAGUUUUAAAUAAACCUAGAUGGCUCUGCCAAGUCUAAUACAA